AUUUAAAGUGCAGUCGCUCCGCGCCACGGAAACCUUUCCAUGCUGCCAAUAGGGAUGCACAGUUGAGUCUGAGCAGCGCUCCCAGGACACGUUUUAAUGAGGGAAGCGACAAGAAAACGCAGAUGAAGUGAUCGGGGAUAGUCGCGUUGCAGCUGGGAAGUUAUCAAGAUUAUCCAUUUUCCGCUGUCUUCAAGUCUACAAGUUUAUAGCACCAGACACCUCUGCCAUGGGUGUGAAGAUGCUGCAGUGUUUUCCUUUCUACAGACGCUGUAAAGAGCGCUGCAAGAGCAGGCAGUGCCCCCCAGCUGCAAGUGGGGAGCAGCUACACAUUCCCAUUGAGGAGAUGAAGCCCCGUCUGUGCUCCACGACAUCCUGCGGUAGCGACAGCGAAGCAGCAGGAAGCCUGAGUCGGGGCUCGCAGAUAUAUUUCUCCACCAAGGCCAGGCUGUCUUUUAGACACCAGCUGGACAGCAACAUCAACGCAGUGGACACCACUUACUAAGGAGGACGGAGUGCUGCAGAAGAGAUAAAUGGACUCCUGUAUCUAGGUUUUCCCUGGCCCAUUCAUGCUUGGACCCUGUGGUGCAGAUGUGGGAGCCUGAUAGCUAAGCAAGUGCAUCUAUCGUCACCUUUUAGAUUUGAUCAACAGUAGUUGUGCACUGCCACAGUUUGCAAUACAGCCCCUCCUUGCUCACUCGCUGCCCACCAAGAACUCUCGAUGAUUAAUCAGAUUCAACAAGAGGCGGGGGAAAUAAGACUGAGACAGACUUGGUUUUCAAUCUCUGUGCAUUAACAUUUCAUAAGACUAAACUCUAAACUGCGUGGACCCAAUACCCAACCGGACACGAUACUGAUGAGAGAAGACCACAUAAGAGACAUGUUUACAGCAUCCACAACCGAAAGUGCAUUACUUUUUACACUUUUUUCCUUUUGAUUUUUUAAUUUGCUGUUGAGAUAAGAGAGCGUUUCAUCAAGCAGGAUGAGGGAGUAUGAUGAUUAAUAGCUCUGUCUUAACCUCAUCAACCAUCACGAGUGAUGGGAUCCUAUUUCUAAACUUACUGUUGACAGUUCUUAUAAACAAGGUUUACUUUCUAAUCCUGCUCUGUGACAAAACAAAGAAACACUAAAAAACAGAGGGGGGUGCUCAGCAGCUGUUUUUUUGCCUCUAGGUACUCUUGAGAAAGCAUAAAGCAAACAGCAGCUCAGCAGAAUGUAUUUCUGUUAAGUAUUUUGUCAGUCAUGUUUGGCUUCAGCUUCUUCUGGCUUAUUUCUUUAUUUUUUAUCAACUAAAAAAACCGUCUUUGCUGCAUUUGAUAAUACAUUUUUACUUUUUUUUUAACAAAUCUUAGCUAAAGACCUUUAAAGCUUUAGUGCGUAACUUUUUUAUAUUAAUGAGCGUCCGUUACAUUCAAGCCAUUGCCAAAUGAGUGGAUACAAAGCUAAUUAAGAAUUUAAGCUCCACAAAACUCUAUUUCUCAUUAUGGCUGUGUUCCGAAUAUUGUGUCGUCCGGCGACUUUCCCGGGAAGAAGAUAAUUACCUCUUCUGAAGAGUCCAUGUUUUUUUAAAUCCUCCGUGUCCUCCUUGACUACUAGCAACUGCGAGGAGGAGGGGUGAGGGUGGUGCGAGAUCACGGAAGGCUGUCAAAACGCGCAACAGUUUUGUUGUCAUUACUUAGUUACAAUUCCUCAUGGGGGAAGACAGAAACUACGCACUAUAGCUUUAAGGAUGAACAGGAUUCUGUAUUUGCCUACAAUGAGCAGAUAUGAAUGUAAUCGCUGAUACUAUAUAACUGAAAACCUGAUGAAAUUUCAAAAUUCGUCCUUUGAUGCGAAAAUCAGUUAUUCAAAUCUACAGUACAUCAAAAGUAUCUUUAUUCUUUACUAACAACAACUAAAAAAGGUACAUUCAAAAUGUCUCCUGUGUUUUUGUUGAAUGUGUGAAUGAAGUUUUGCAGAAUUAAAAUAUGAUUAUGAUGAAUGAUUAA